AUUGAACGCUGGCGGCAGGCCUAACACAUGCAAGUCGAGCGGGGUUUUCGGACCUAGCGGCGGACGGGUGAGUAAUGCGUAGGAAGCUACCCGAUAGAGGGGGAUACCAGUUGGAAACGACUGUUAAUACCGCAUAAUGUCUACGGACCAAAGUGUGGGACCGUCGGGCCACAUGCUAUCGGAUGCGCCUACGUGGGAUUAGCUAGUUGGUGAGGUAAUGGCUCACCAAGGCGACGAUCCCUAGCUGGUUUGAGAGGAUGAUCAGCCACACUGGAACUGAGACACGGUCCAGACUCCUACGGGAGGCAGCAGUGGGGAAUAUUGGACAAUGGGCGCAAGCCUGAUCCAGCCAUGCCGCGUGUGUGAAGAAGGCCUUCGGGUUGUAAAGCACUUUCAGUAGGGAGGAAGCGUUGUGUGUUAAUAGUACACAGCGUUGACGUUACCUACAGAAGAAGCACCGGCUAACUCUGUGCCAGCCGCCGCCGCUGUAA
rnacentral:rRNA from 1 species